rnacentral:rRNA from 1 species
AUAUCAAUAAGCGGAGGAAAAGAAACCAACAGGGAUUGCCUCAGUAACGGCGAGUGAAGCGGCAACAGCUCAAAUUUGAAAUCUGGCUUCUCGGAGCCCGAGUUGUAAUUUGUAGAGGAUGUUUCGGGUACCGCUCCGGCUUAAUUUUCUUGGAACAGAAUGUCACAGAGGGUGAGAAUCCCGUCUGGAGCCGCGGUAGGGCCUAUGUGAAACUCCUUCGACGAGUCGAGUUGUUUGGGAAUGCAGCUCAAAAUGGGUGGUAAAUUUCAUCUAAAGCUAAAUAUUGGCCAGAGACCGAUAGCGCACAAGUAGAGUGAUCGAAAGAUGAAAAGCACUUUGAAAAGAGAGUUAAACAGUAU